CCUACGGGAGGCAGCAGUGAGGAAUAUUGGUCAAUGGGCGAGAGCCUGAACCAGCCAAGUCGCGUGAGGGAGUACUGCCCUAUGGGUUGUAAACUUCUUUUGUCGGGGAGCAAAAGCCGGACGUGUCCGGCUGUGAGAGUACCCGAAGAAAAAGCAUCGGCUAACUCCGUGCCAGCAGCCGCGGUAAUACGGAGGAUGCGAGCGUUAUCCGGAUUUAUUGGGUUUAAAGGGUGCGCAGGCGGAUUUUUAAGUCAGCGGUAAAAUCGUGGGGCUCAACCCCAUCCAGCCGUUGAAACUGGGGAUCUAGAGUGUGCGAGAGGUAUGCGGAAUGCGUGGUGUAGCGGUGAAAUGCAUAGAUAUCACGCAGAACCCCGAUUGCGAAGGCAGCAUACCGGUGCACAACUGACGCUCAGGCACGAAAGCGUGGGUAUCGAACAGGAUUAGAUACCCCUGUAGUC
rnacentral:rRNA from 1 species